UCAUUUGGCAAACUGUCCGUUAAUGACUGUUGACAUCAAAUUACAAAUAUGAUAUGCUCCAAUGGUUGUGAUGUGAUCUAAAAAUCUAAGAAAGAUUAUGAAAUUGGAUAACUCAAAAGACCAAGUCAGUGAGGAUCUGUUCUGUGUCUUUAGGGAGCAUUUGGAUUUGAGGAGCUGUGAUUGUGGUGGCAGGGCAUAUUUGGUCUGCUAAGGACAUAGCUAUUCUACAACUGCCAAGUGGCUCUGGUCAUCAACUUUCAAUAACUUGCAUGGUAUAUGCAUAUUAUUCUGACUCUAUUCUUUAACCAUCUCCAAAUGGAACGUUAAGGAGAAGUAGAUUUUACUGGCAAACAUUCACUUUAACUUCACAGACAAAAAGGUGCACCAUAUCGUGUAAUGCACCAUAUCGUGUAAUGCACCAUAGUUUCUUUAAAUUCUUCAUUCUUUUUUCUUUUAUGGCAUGGAAACCUAGAAGAACCCUGUCAAAAACAGGGUCUUUUAAUUACUGAGGUAAGACAAAUAAUGCUGUAAAAAGAGUCACAUGUAAGGUCUGUGUGAAAAGAUAUAUAAUGAAUAUCAACUAAAGCUGCAUUUUCAACAUGCAUCUUUGCAAGCCAGAAUGAAAUGAAAGCGGCCCUACUAUUAAUUUCAUUUCAAUUUUUCUGGGUCAAAAAGAAAAAAAAGAAAAUAAAUGUCCAUUAUAAAAGAAAUUACUAUAGUUAGCAUAUUUGUUUGGACACGUAAUGGAGGGACAAUGAAUGGCAUGUGCUAAUGUAAUAAAGGAAAGAGAGGAUGCUAACAUGGAUAUUACCUCAGCUGGGACCAAAAUUAAUGAUUGCAGAAAGCAAGUGAGCCGUUCAAGCAAAUCGCCUGUCAAAGCAAUAUGUCCAAAUUUACCAAUUUGGGUUUUAGGCAGUGUGUUCACAAAGAUGUACUGCGAGUUUCCUAUUCAGAAUCUACAUAUAAACCGUUUCUAUCAGGGAUCUGAAGCUUCUCCUGUAAAUGUAUAUUCUCCACCCUAUGUUGAGAGUUCAAGGAAAGAGGGACUGUGUAACAAGUGCUAGCUAAAUUUUUAACAUGGACAAAUCAGCAAAUAGGAGAAAUAUCCUCCAAGACAUCAUUGCCAUGUCUGCAUAAACCUGCUCAUCUCCGCUAGUGCAGAUAUGAUAGUAUGUGAGCAUUUCCGAUCUUGCUUCCAGGAAGGCCCAAGAUAUUACUAUAAAGCUCAAUAAGAAUAGGUUUUAAGUUACAAACCGGCCAAUAUCAGUCUAUAAGGUACAACAGUAUCACAGAAGAUGUAAACUUCCCAUUCGUGUAAUUAACUUUUGACCAACAAUUACUAAAUGCUAAGAACAGACAAUAGUACUAUGUGAAAUAAUACAUUACAGAAUAAUAGAAUCCAAUGGUUAGUUUCUAUGCUCUAAUACAUAGAUCCCGGUAUCUACCAUAAUCAGAAGCUCGCUUAUAUGUGGGAAAGAAAAAGAACUAGUACAUAGAAAUUGUUGUUUUAAUUAAAUGGCUGAUCUUACAAUUUUGAGGCAACAACAAGAACACGCAAGUAUAGCNNNN
rnacentral:lncRNA from 1 species